rnacentral:rRNA from 1 species
UAACGGGGCGCAGCAGGCGCGAAACCUUCACUAUGCAUUCACGUGCGAUGAGGGGAUCUGGAGUGCUUAUGCUUUGCAUAAGCUUUUGCUAAGUCAAAAUAGCUUGGCGAAUAAGGGGUGGGUAAGACAGGUGCCAGCCGCCGCGGUAAUACCUGCGCCCCGAGUGGUAUCCCGUAUUAGUUGGUCUAAAGCGUCCGUAGCCGGUCUUAUAAGUUCCUGAUGAAAUUCAUUAGAAAACUGGUGAGCUCGUCGGGAAUACUAUUGGACUUGGGAUCGGGAGAGGAUAGAGGUACUGCUGGGGAAGGGGUAAAAUCCUAUAAUCCCAGUGGGACCGCCUGUGGCGAAGGCGUCUAUCUAGAACGAGUCCGACGGUGAGGGACGAAACCUAGGGUAGCGAUCGGGAUUAGAUACCCGGGUAGUC